rnacentral:rRNA from 1 species
CUACGGGAUGCUGCAGUUAGGGAUAAUCUACAAUGCGCGCAAGCGUGAUAGUUUGAGCCAGAGUGUUUGUCAUUGACAAACUUUUGCCAAAUGUAAAAAGUUUGGCGAAUAAGGACUGGGUAAGACGAGUGCCAGCCGCCGCGGUAAUACUCGCGGUCCAAGUCGCAGCCAUAUUAUUGGGUCUAAAACAUCCGUAGCUUGCCAUAUAAGUUUCUUGUGAAAUUCUAUGUCCUAAGCAUGGAGCGAGCAAGAAAUACUAUCUGGCUAGAGACUGGGAGGCGUAAGAAGUACGUUUGAAGUAGCGGUAAAAUGUGUUAAUCUCAGACGGACUAACAAUUAGCGAAGGCAUCUUACGAGAACAGUUCUGACAGUAAGGGAUGAAGGCUCGGGGCGCAAAACGGAUUAGAUACCCGGGUAGUC